ACGGAGGGAGCUAGCGUUGUUCGGAAUUACUGGGCGUAAAGCGCACGUAGGCGGCUUUGUAAGUCAGAGGUGAAAGCCUGGAGCUCAACUCCAGAACUGCCUUUGAGACUGCAUCGCUUGAAUCCAGGAGAGGUGAGUGGAAUUCCGAGUGUAGCGGUGAGAUGCGUAGAUAUUCGGAAGAACACCAAUGGCGAAGGCAGCCAACUGGACUGGUAUUGACGCUGAUGUGCGAAAGUGUGGGGAGCAAACAG
rnacentral:rRNA from 1 species